AGUGAACGCUGGCGGUAGGCCUAACACAUGCAAGUCGAACGGCAGCACAGUAAGAGCUUGCUCUUACGGGUGGCGAGUGGCGGACGGGUGAGGAAUACAUCGGAAUCUACUUUUUCGUGGGGGAUAACGUAGGGAAACUUACGCUAAUACCGCAUACGACCUACGGGUGAAAGCAGGGGAUCUUUGGACCUUGCGCGAUUGAAUGAGCCGAUGUCGGAUUAGCUAGUUGGCGGGGUAAAGGCCCACCAAGGCGACGAUCCGUAGCUGGUCUGAGAGGAUGAUCAGCCACACUGGAACUGAGACACGGUCCAGACUCCUACGGGAGGCAGCAGUGGGGAAUAUUGGGCAAUGGGCGCGAGCCUGAUCCAGCCAUACCGCGUGGGUGAAGAAGGCCUUCGGGUUGGAAAGCCCUUUUGUUGGGAAAGAAAAGCAGCAGGUUAAUACCCCGCUGUUCUGACGGUACCCAAAGAAUAAGCACCGGCUAACUUCGUG
rnacentral:rRNA from 1 species